GAUGAAGAACGUAGCGAAAUGCGAUAAGUAGUGUGAAUUGCAGAAUUCAGUGAGUCAUCGAAUCUUUGAACGCACAUUGCGCCCCUUGGUAUCCCGAGGGGCAUGCCUGUUCGAGCGUCAUUUCACCACUCAAGCCUGGCUUGGUGUUGGGCGACGUCCCCUUUGGGGACGCGCCUCGAAACGCUCGGCGGCGUGGCACCGGCUUUAAGCGUAGCAGAAUCUUUCGCUUUGGAAGUCGGGGCCCCGUCUGCCGGAAGACCUACUCGCAAGGUUGACCUCGGAUCAGGCAGGGAUACCCGCUGAACUUAAGCAUAUCAAUAAGCGGAGGA
rnacentral:misc_RNA from 1 species